CUUCAGCUGUGGGCACGGAAGGCGACACUCAGGACAAUCUCCAGCAUGGCCUGGGCUCCUCUCCUCCUCACUGUCCUGGCUCACUGCACAGGAUGCUGGGCCCAGUCUGUGCUGACUCAGCCACCCUCAGUGUCUGGGAACCCUGGGCAGAGGGUCACCAUCUCCUGUUCUGGAAGCAGCUCCAACAUUGGAAAUUAUUAUGUGCACUGGUACCAGCAGCUCCCAGGAACGGCCCCCAAACUCCUCAUCUAUGAUAAUAAUCAGCGACCCUCAGGGGUUUCCGACCGAUUCUCUGGCUCCAAGUCCGGCACCUCAGCCUCCCUGGCCAUCACUGGACUCCGCCUUGAGGACGAGGCUGAUUAUUACUGCUUAGCAUGGGAUGACAGCCUGAAUGCUCGCACAGUGCUCCGGGCCAAUGGGGAACUGAGACAAGAACCCCCUUCCUCCUCUGCCAGGAAGGUACGGACAGGCUCCAGAGACCAGGGGCAGCCACCCUGCAUGAUUCUGGCCAUUCUGGCAGAGAUCCAUAAAACAUUUCACGUUGGGAGCUUUGUCGACACAGCCUUCUUGACCACCUCUGGGCUCCAACCUGAGGACGAGGCUGACUAUCACUGUCACACAGCUUCAUCCAGACUCCGUGUCACCAAGAGCUCCUGUUCCAUGGAGAAAUGA